CGGUAAUACGUAGAAGGCAAACGUUAUUCGGAUUUACUGGGCGUAAAGCGGGUGCAGACGGUUUCUUAAGUCGGAUGUGAAACCUCUUGACUCAAUCAAGAGGGGUCAUUCGAUACUGAGAAGCUUGAGGGCAGCAGAGGAAGGCGGAAUUCCCCGGUGUAGCGGUGAAAUGCGUAGAUAUCGGGAGGAACACCAGUGGCGAAAGCGGCCUUCUGGGCUGUUCCUGACGUUGAGGCCCGAAAGCGUGGGGAGCGAAACGGAUUAGAUACCCGUGUAGUCCACGCCCUAAACUUUGGACACUAGGUAUGGGGAGUAUCGACCCUCUCCGUGCCGAAGCUAACGCCUUAAGUGUCCCGCCUGGGGACUACGGCCGCAAGGCUAAACUCAAAGGAAUUGACGGGGGCCCGCACAAGCAGCGGAGCGUGUGGUUUAAUUCGAUGCAACGCGAAGAACCUUACCAAGGCUUGACAUGUCGGAAGUAGAAACUCGAAAGAGGGACGACCUGUAUCCAGUCAGGAGCCGACACAGGUG
rnacentral:rRNA from 1 species